rnacentral:rRNA from 1 species
GAUGAACGCUGGCGGCGUGCUUAACACAUGCAAGUCGAACGAUGAAGCCCAGCUUGCUGGGUGGAUUAGUGGCGAACGGGUGAGUAACACGUGAGUAACCUGCCCUUAACUCUGGGAUAAGCCUGGGAAACUGGGUCUAAUACCGGAUAGGAGCGUCCACCGCAUGGUGGGUGUUGGAAAGAUUUAUCGGUUUUGGAUGGACUCGCGGCCUAUCAGCUUGUUGGUGAGGUAAUGGCUCACCAAGGCGACGACGGGUAGCCGGCCUGAGAGGGUGACCGGCCACACUGGGACUGAGACACGGCCCAGACUCCUACGGGAGGCAGCAGUGGGGAAUAUUGCACAAUGGGCGCAAGCCUGAUGCAGCGAUGCCGCGUGAGGGAUGACGGCCUUCGGGUUGUAAACCUCUUUCAGUAGGGAAGAAGCGAAAGUGACGGUACCUGCAGAAGAAGCACCGGCUAACUACGU